UAUUUACCAUUUGUUAGAAGCUAAUGGAGAACUGUUGUAGUGAAGUAUGGAUAUGAGAGAAGGAAAAGGACAGUAAAACAUUCCAAAUUCCCUUCAGCACCAACCCCCAGAGCAACUCUACACAGAUGUUACGCAGCUGCUGCCAAAGUUUCAUCAAGAUCCUACCUUUUAACAUUGCCCAUGGCACAGCUCAGGUACCGUAGAUCAGUCAUAACUCAACUUCAAAACCAGUUACAGAAGGAAUAUCAUCUGCAACACCACAAGGCUCAAGAACUCCUUUAAUACUGCAAGGUACCAUCCUGUGUUGAUUCCAAAUUCACUUCAAAGCCUGAAAGGAGGACACUGAGUUCUGUGAAAAUCAGUGGGAUGCUGGAAAGCUAAGACAUAAGCUAAGCUGCUUGUUACAAAGAUGUUGGCCAUCAUUCCAGAGAGGAUAUCACAGAUCUAACCCCAACAAAACAUCUGGCAACAGGAAUGUUUUCUACACAGGCUGUGAAAAAGUAGGCUGAGAAAAUUUUUGUUGGGGGCCUCAGCCUGGUGUCCAGCUGUGUGUCAUUUUUGUGUAC